UUGCUGAGAUAAUGAAAAUAAUAAUCAAUAAAAACUGAGGGAACUCAGAGACCGGUGCUGGUGCAUGUCCUUGGUAUGCUGAGAGCCAGUCCCCUGGCCCCACUUUUCUUUCUCUAUACUUUGUCUCUGAGUCUUAUUUUUUUUCUCAGUCUCUCAUCCCAUCUGACGAGAUAUACCCACAGGUGUGGAGGAGCAGGCCACCCCUUCAUCUGCCACCCAAUGUGGGUGCCUUUCUCUAGGAUGAAGGUAUGCUAAGAAUGUGAGCAUUGAGGACAGUCGAGAGAUUCCUGAGUACAUCCACCAUCAGCCUUGCGACAUUUGAAAUUCUACAAUGAACCCAUCAGAGAUGCAAAGAAAAGUGCCUCCGUGGAGAUGGAAAACCCGCAAUGGAGCACCAUCGACUCGCCAGGUGAACAAAAUGGUGAUAUCAGAAGAACAGAUGAAGUUGCCAUCCACCAAGAAAGUGGAGCUGCUGACCUGGGCCCAGCUAAAGAAGCUGACACAGUUAGCUGAAAAAAAGCCUGAAGAAUACAAGGUUAACACAAACUCCAGAGAAUAUGCUGCUUGCAGCUUUAAUGAUUGUACCAACGGUGUCUACAGGUGUAUCCAGCAGCUCUGGAGAGACAGUGACCAGUGAGAAUGGACCAUGAUGACCAUGGCAGUUUUGUCAAAAAGAAAAGGGGGAUAUGUAGGGAAAAGAGAGAUCAGACUGUUACUGUGUCUAUGUAGAAAGGGAAGACAUAAGAAAUUCCAUUUUGAUCUGUACCUUGAAAAAUUGUUUUGCUGAGAUGCUGUUAAUUUGUAACUUUGCCCCAGCCACUUUGCCCCAACUUUGAGCUCACAAAAACAUGUGUUAUAUGGAAUCAAGGUUUAAGAGAUCUAGGGCUGGGCAGGAUGUGCCUUGCUAACAAAAUAUUUACAAGCAGUAUGCUUGGUAAAACUCAUUGCCAUUCUCUAGUCUCAAUAAACCAGGGGCACAAUGCACUGCAAAAAGCCACAGGGACCUCUGCCCUGGAAAGCCGGGUAUUGUCCAAGGUUUGUCCCCAUGUGAUAGUCUGAAAUGUGGCCACAUGGGAUGAGAAAGACCGGACUGUCCCCCAGCCUGACACCUGUAAAGGGUCUGUGCUGAGGUGGAUUAGUAAAAGAGGAAAGCCACUUGCAGUUGAGAUAGAGGAAGGCCACUGUUUCCUGCCUGCCCCUGGGAACUUAAUGUCUCGGUAUAAAACCCGAUUGUACAUAUGUUCAAUUCUGAGAUAGGAGGAAAACUGCCCUAUGGUGGGAGGCGAGACAUGUUGGCAGCAAUGCUGCCUCGUUAUUCUUUACUCCACUGAGAUGUUUGGGUGGGAAGAAACAUAAAUCUGGCCCACGUGUACAUCCAGGCAUAGUACCUCCCCUUGAACUUAAUUAUGAUAUAGAUUCUUUUGCUCACGUGUUUUUUUGCUGACCUUCUCCUUAUUAUCACCCUGCUCUCCUACUGCAUUCCUCUUGCUGAGAUAAUGAAAAUAAUAAUCAAUAAAAACUGAGGGAACUCAGAGACCGGUGCUGGUGCAGGUCCUUGGUAUGCUGAGUGCAGGUCCCCUGGGCCCACUAUUCUUUCUCUAUAGUUUGUCUUGUAUCUUAUUUCUUUUCUCAGUCUCUCAUCCCACCUGAUGAGAUAUACCCACAGAUGUGGAGGGCCAGGCCACCCCUUCAAACAUAAACUUAUGUUUAGUUUAAUAUAGAUACACACAGUUCUACAUAGAAAACUUUAUAAUCAGGUGUGUAUAGGUAGGUUAGACACACACAUAUACUUCCUAGCAUUGCUAAUGAGGGACAAGAUACAAUGUGCUAAUUCAACAGCCAGAUGUAAGUUUUCCUACCAUUCUGAAAGGAAUCAGGCUCUUUGAAGAAAUGUCUGAUACUAGAACUGGGACAGUAAAUAUAGGAGCCAGGAUAAUCUUGAAGUAUCAGAAAGUAAGUACUAAAAAAAAUUAAAAUAUAUCAAAGAAAAAUAAGAGCCAAUAAUAACAGCUACCGAAGGCCAACACAGGAAUGAAUUGUGCAACACAAUGCUGCAGUGUUGAAUAAUAACUGAAGCUUAAAGUAAUUAUCUAGGUGUCUGUAUUUGUAUACAUAGGUGAAUAAGCUAAUGGAGUUGCAUAGAAAUCUCCUUUGCAAAAGAAUUCCAAAUAAUUGAUGUAGACACUCAGCCAUCAGGAAGGUGGAGCCAACUCCUCACUCCAUGAGUGUGGGCUCUGCAUAGUGACUUGCUCCAAAAGAACACAUGCAGUAUGGACAAGGAGGAAAAAUAACUUCACAGUGGAGAAACCUGACAAACAGUAGCUCUGCCAAAUGAUCCAAGUGAACAUCAAAAAUGACAGUUUACCUUGAGAACAUGAAGUGAAAAUGGGGGACAUUCUACAAAAUUCCUGACCAAUCCUCCUCAGUACUGUCAAGGUCAUCAUGAGAUGGAAAGCCUGACACACUGUCACAGCCAGGAAGAGCCUAUGUGAUGACUACAUGUCGUGCGGGAUCCUGGAUGGGAUCCUGGGUCAGAGUAAGACAGACCUAAGGGAGUCCAAAUGAAAUGUGAACUUUAGUUAAUAAUAGUCUAUCAGUAUUGGUUCAUUAACUGUGACAAAUUAUGUAAGAUAUUAAUAAGCCAUGUGAGACACACUGAUAGAAGAUGUUAAUGAGAGGAAACUAGGUUGUGGCUACAUGGGAAA